GAUGAACGCUGGCGGCGUGCCUAAUACAUGCAAGUCGAGCGAACAGACGAGGAGCUUGCUCCUCUGACGUUAUCGGCGGACGGGUGAGUAACACGUGGAUAACCUACCUAUAAGACUGGGAUAACUUCGGGAAACCGGAGCUAAUACCGGAUAAUAUAUUGAACCGCAUGGUUCAAUAGUUAAAGACGGUUUUGCUGUCACUUAUAGAUGGAUCCGCGCCGCAUUAGCUAGUUGGUAAGGUAACGGCUUACCAAGGCGACGAUGCGUAGCCGCCCUGAGAGGGUGAUCGGCCACACUGGAACUGAGACACGGUCCAGACUCCUGCGGGAGGCAGCAGUAGGGAAUCUUCCGCGAUGGGCGAGAGCCUGACGGAGCAACGCCGCGUGAGUGAUGAAGGUCUUCGGAUCGUAGAACUCUGUUAUUAGGGGAGAACAAAUGUGUAAGUACCUAUGCACGUCUUGACGGUACCUAAUCAGAAAGCCACGGCUAACUACGUG
rnacentral:rRNA from 1 species